GCUGCCAACAUAUUAGCCUUGCUAGCCAGUAAACCAGUGCCCAGGAUGCCAAUAGAAGCUGCCCAUGUUACUGCAUGGGGUAUACUGAUUCGUCCUGACGGCAAUGGUCUUUUCUUGGUUCUGUUCAUCUUAGCAUCAUUUUUCACCUCAAACACCUGAUUUAAUGUGCUAGCUGAUGCCGCAACCAUCAUUGUGCCAGCACAUGUGCAGCAAAGUCCCAUGUAGUCAAUGGCACUACCACUCCCAAGGAUAUACCCAGUGCCAGAGGUUGCAACUACAAGCAUGCUUAAGCGAGCUUUAGAAAGCUCCGCAUAACACCGCCCGUAAUGCUUAGCCAUGUCCACAAUAUCCCUACCUUUCAAAACUGAUGCAGCCGCAAAAGAUGAAAGAUCGACAGCUGAAGAAGUCGGAGAUCCGGUUCGAACCCACUCCGUCGAUGAAAAUCCCACCUUUACUGUACCGGCUGCUUCAGUAGACUCCGGUCCGGAGCCGGCGGCUGUAGAAGUGGAUCUGCUGGCAACGCCAUGAUUAAGCAAAGGAAGACGACUGCAUGAAGAUUUGGAUGUGAGGAGUUUUGAAGAGAAACCCACCGAGUUCCUCCACAUGGUGCCGAGUCUUGACAAUUG
rnacentral:misc_RNA from 1 species